UCGGGAAUAUUGCGCAAUGGAGGAAACUCUGACGCAGUGACGCCGCGUAUAGGAAGAAGUUUUUCGGAAUGUAAACUAUUGUCGUUAGGGAAGAGAAAGGACAGUACCUAAGGAGGAAGCUCCGGCUAACUACGUGCCAGCAGCCGCGGUAAUACGUAGGGAGCGAGCGUUAUCCGGAAUUAUUGGGUGUAAAGGGUGCGUAGACGGGAGAGCAAGUUAGUUGUGAAAUCCCUCGGCUUAACUGAGGAACUGCAACUAAAACUACUUUUCUUGAGUGCAGGAGAGGUAAGUGGAAUUCCUAGUGUAGCGGUGAAAUGCGUAGAUAUUAGGAGGAACACCAGUGGCGAAGGCGACUUACUGGACUGUAACUGACGUUGAGGCACGAAAGUGUGGGGAGCAAACAGGAUUAGAUACC
rnacentral:rRNA from 1 species